rnacentral:tRNA from 1 species
GUAAAUGUAGUUUAAGAAAAACAGUAGACUGUGAAUCUAGUAACAAAAGACUUAGCCUUCUUAUUUACU